rnacentral:rRNA from 1 species
GACGAACGCUGGCGGCGUGCUUAACACAUGCAAGUCGAACGGAAAGGCCCUGCUUUUGUGGGGUGCUCGAGUGGCGAACGGGUGAGUAACACGUGAGUAACCUGCCCUUGACUUUGGGAUAACUUCAGGAAACUGGGGCUAAUACCGGAUAGGAGCUCCUGCUGCAUGGUGGGGGUUGGAAAGUUUCGGCGGUUGGGGAUGGACUCGCGGCUUAUCAGCUUGUUGGUGGGGUAGUGGCUUACCAAGGCUUUGACGGGUAGCCGGCCUGAGAGGGUGACCGGCCACAUUGGGACUGAGGUACCGCCCGGACUCCUACGGGAGGCAGCAGUGGGGGAUAUUGCACGAUGGGCGGAAGCCUGAUGCAGCAACGCCGCGUGCGGGAUGACGGCCUUCGGGUUGUAAACCGCUUUCGCCUGUGACGAAGCGUGAGUGACGGUAAUGGGUAAAGAAGCACCGGCUAACUACGUG